GAUGAACGCUGGCGGCGUGCCUAAUACAUGCAAGUCGAACGAAACGUCUUUAUCACCGAGUGCUUGCACUCACCGAUAAAGAGGUGAGUGGCGAACGGGUGAGGAACACGUGGGCAACCUGCCCAAAAGAGGGGGAUAACACUUGGAAACAGGUGCUAAUACCGCAUAACCAUAGUUACCGCAUGGUAACUAUGUAAAAGGUGGCUAUACUACCGCUGUUGGAUGGGCCGGCGGCGCAUUAGCUAGUUGGUAGGGUAAAGGCUUACCAAGGCAAUGAUGCGUAGCCGAAGUGAGAGGUUGAUCGGCCACAUUGGGACUGAGACACGGCCCAAACUCCUACGGGAGGCCGCAGUCGGGAAUCUUCCACAAUGGGCGGAAGCCUGAUGGAGCAACGCCGCGUGGGUGAAGAAGGUCUUCGGAUCGUAAAACCCUGUUGUUAGAGAAGAAAGUGUGUGAGAGGAACUGUUCACGUUUCGACGGUAUCUAACCAGAAAGCCACGGCUAACUACGUG
rnacentral:rRNA from 1 species